rnacentral:rRNA from 1 species
AUUGAACGCUGGCGGCAUGCUUUACACAUGCAAGUCGAACGGCAGCACGGGUGCUUGCGCCUGGUGGCGAGUGGCGAACGGGUGAGUAAUACAUCGGAACAUGCCUGGUUGUGGGGGAUAACUACUCGAAAGAGUGGCUAAUACCGCAUGAGAUCCAUGGAUGAAAGCAGGGGACCUUUGGGCCUUGCGCAACUGGAGUGGCCGAUGGCAGA